rnacentral:rRNA from 1 species
AAAGGGUGCGUAGGCGGUUUGACAAGUCUUAUGUGAAAUCUUCGGGCUCAACCCGAAGUCUGCAUGAGAAACUGUUGAGCUUGAGUAUUGGAGAGGUGAGUGGAAUUUCCGGUGUAGCGGUGAAAUGCGUAGAUAUCGGAAGGAACACCUGUGGCGAAAGCGGCUCACUGGACAAUAACUGACGCUGAGGCACGAAAGCUAGGGGAGCAAACAGGAUUAGAUACCCCUGU